CGGCGUGCCUAACACAUGCAAGUCGAACGGAGAAUUUACGCUGAUGAAGCUUCGGCAGAUUCUUGUAAAAUCUUAGUGGCGGACGGGUGAGUAACGCGUGGGCAACCUGCCUCAUACUGGGGGAUAACAGCUGGAAACGACUGUUAAUACCGCAUAAGCGCACAGUAUCGCAUGAUACAGUGUGAAAAACUCCGGUGGUAUGAGAUGGGCCCGCGUCAGAUUAGCCAGUUGGCAGGGUAACGGCCUACCAAAGCGACGAUCUGUAGCCGGCCUGAGAGGGCGGACGGCCACAUUGGGACUGAGACACGGCCCAAACUCCUACGGGAGGCAGCAGUGGGGGAUAUUGCACAAUGGAGGAAACUCUGAUGCAGCGACGCCGCGUGAGUGAAGAAGUAUUUCGGUAUGUAAAGCUCUAUCAGCAGGGAAGAAAGACUCGUAAGAGAGAUGACG
rnacentral:rRNA from 1 species